GGAGUUAUAGCUCAGUGGUAGAGCACUUGCCUAAGCAUGUGUGAGGCCCUGGGUUCAAUCCCCAGCACCA
rnacentral:tRNA from 1 species